GACGAACGCUGGCGGCGUGCCUAAUACAUGCAAGUAGAACGCUGAAGGAGGAGCUUGCUUCUCUGGAUGAGUUGCGAACGGGUGAGUAACGCGUAGGUAACCUGCCUGGUAGCGGGGGAUAACUAUUGGAAACGAUAGCUAAUACCGCAUAAGAGUAGAUGUUGCAUGACAUUUGCUUAAAAGGUGCAAUUGCAUCACUACCAGAUGGACCUGCGUUGUAUUAGCUAGUUGGUGAGGUAACGGCUCACCAAGGCAACGAUACAUAGCCGACCUGAGAGGGGGAUCGGCCACACUGGGACUGAGACCCGGCCCAGACUCCUUCGGGAGGCAGCAGUAGGGAAUCGUCGGCAAUGGCCGGAAGUCUGACCGCGCAACGCCGCGUGCGUGAAGAAGGUUUUCGGAUCGUAAAGCUCUGUUGUAAGAGAAGAACGAGUGUGAGAGUGGAAAGUUCACACUGUGACGGUAUCUUACCAGAAAGGGACGGCUAACUACGUG
rnacentral:rRNA from 1 species